CUUUCUCCGGGAUUCCUCUGAGGGCCAAGGUCUGGUCACCCAGAGGCUGCUAAUUUCAAAGGCAAUAUGAGAGGGACUGGAUGUUUGGAGGGGGACACGGGGCUGGACAUCUGGAUCCCCAAACCCGGACUCACCUCUCGGACAGGGCUGAUUCCGAUCGGACACUUCCGGUGGAAGGACUGAGCGGCGCUACACUUCAAGAAUUCCGUCCACAGGGACUUGUGAGUCUGCGCAGAAGGCGGGAUGCCUUUGGACUACAAUUCCAAGAAUCCUUCCUGGGUCUCUUCGGGCGCAGACUUUUCGCCAAAGUCCUGAAGAUCUCAGGGCUUGAAGGAGGGGGCAUCUUUUUUCUCCAUUGUAGUAGUGUGUCUUGCUAAAUAACAGAAGGGACUCCUGAAAAGAAAAUGACGUUGGCCGGGCGCGGUGGCUCACGCCUGCAGUCCCAGCACUUUGGGAGGCCGAGACGGGCGGAUCACGAGGUCAGGAGAUCGAGACUAUCCUGGUUUACGCGGUGACACCCUGUGUCUACUAAAAAUACAAAAAAAAAAAAAAAAAAAAAAAUUGCCGGGCGUGGUGGCACGCGCCUGUAGUUCCAGGUGCUCGGGAGGCUGAGGCAGGAGAAUCGCUUGAACCCGGGAGGCGGAGCUUGCAGUGAGCCGAGACCGCGCCACUGCACUCCAGCUUGGGUGACAGAGUGAGACUCAGUCUCAGAAAAAGAAGAAGAAGAAAAAGAUACACACUCGAGCACACAUUUUCUCAGCAAAGCAAUUUACUUCUAUAGAAGGGUGCGUCUCACGGAUGGAGCAAUGGCGAGAGCACACCUGAACAAGGGAGGGGAAGGGGUUCUUAUCCCUGACGCAGGUAGUCCCUAGUGCUGUGUCGUUCCCCUACUGGCUAGGGUUGGACCGCACAGUCUAAGUUAAUUCCGAUUGGCUAUUUUAAAGAGAGCAGGGGUAUGAGCCGGAGUGGUAGGGUGAGCAGUUUCAGUGGGAAGGACGGUUACGGAACAGGUGACUAAAGGUGACUCAGGUCAGAGCAGGUGACCAGGGGUGACUCAGGACGGAGCAGGUCACCAGGGGAACAGAUGUGAACUACUGAUUAGAACUGGUGGAAAAGGUUGUUUACUGAAACUAGAGGCAAGGAGACGAGGAAAAUGAGGAAGUUAAAGUUUAAAAUGGAGAACAAAGAAUUGAACAUACUGACAUACUGAUUCUUUGAAGAGAAAUUUAGAACUCACUGUAUUUAACAAGGAGUUCAAGGCCAGCCUGGCCAACAUGGUGAAACCCCGUCUGUACUAAAAAUAUAAAAAUUAGCUGGGUGUGGUGGUGGGCGCCUGUAGUCCCAGCUACUUGGGAGGCUAAGACAGAAGAAUCGCUUGAACCCAGGAGGUGAAGGUUGCAGUGAGCUGAGAUCACGCCACUGCACUCCAGCCUGGGCGACAGAGCAAGGAUCCAUCUCAAAAAAAAAAAAAAAAGUUUAUUCGGGAAUAGGAAAUUGCAAUAAGAAUAGACGUGCCAGAGUAAACUAUGUUUCUAUUCAGGGAGGUAAAGGAAGACAAAGGUUUUUAAAGGAAGAAUGGGGAGGAUUAUUUAAUUGUUUUGAAAUCAUUAUUCUUGACUACAAAGAUCGGUAACGAGGAUGACACCAGUCUGAGGUUAGACAAACAGUUGCUGGGCGGAUGUCCUUGCAGAGGUAUUUUUGGUGUAAGAUGGGUUUUGCAGUCAUAUGUGAUAGUUUUCUUAUGAGGCAUACAAGCCUGAGAAGUGUCUCUUCAUAGCCCUCCCUGGCUCUAUCUGUCAGAUUAUUGCUUUUGUUUUUAUUUUUUAACACUAGUGGGCCGGGCGUGUUGGCUCACUUUUCUAAUUCCCCGCUUUGGGAGGCAAAGGCAGGAGGAUUAAUUGAACUCAGGAGUUCGAGACCAGCCUGGGCAACAUAGUUGGGACCUCGUCUCUACAAAAAUUAAAAAAAAAAAAAAUUAGUCGGGGGUUGUGGAAUGCACUUGUACUCCCAGCUACUCGGGAGGCUGAGGUGGGAGGAUCGC
rnacentral:lncRNA from 1 species